UACGUAGGUGGCGAGCGUUGUCCGGAAUUACUGGGUGUAAAGGGCGCGCAGGCGGGGACAUAAGUCAGAUGUGAAAGUCCAUGGCUCAACUGUGGGAUUGCAUCUGAAACUAUGUAUCUUGAGUGCUGGAGAGGAAAGCGGAAUUCCCAGUGUAGCGGUGAAAUGCGUAGAGAUUGGGAGGAACACCAGUGGCGAAGGCGGCUUUCUGGACAGUAACUGACGCUGAGGCGCGAAAGCGUGGGGAGCGAACAGG
rnacentral:rRNA from 1 species